rnacentral:lncRNA from 1 species
GAUCUAAUUGGGUUCAUUUUAUCCCCUAUCUUACCAGUGACAACUUAUUGUCUACACAGCAGAUAGAAGGAAUUUGUUUUCAGAAUUGCCAUCUGACCUAUUUAGAUGCUCAGAUAUUCCCUGAGGCUCCUUGGCAUGGCCACAAAGGCCCUACACAUUCUGGCUGCAUCCUCCUUUCCAGCAUCCUCUCUCAUGUCUCCUCUCCUCAAUUCCACCCUCAGGAGGUAUUAGAAUUCCUCACUUCUUUGACUACCAGGCACCGUCUUACUCCCAAGACCAGUGAAUCCGAAGGUGGCCCCGCCAGCUGAGGGACUAGAUUCCAGACUGAAUAGAACAGCUUUUCCUGUGUCUCCACAUGAAGUGCAUUUGUUUUUCCUCUUACAGGUUUCCUUAACGACAACAAAAAAGGGAGUAAUCCUACCUACUGUAAGAGUCAUGACUCUUGAUUGCAGCUGACAGAAGCUCAUGACAGCCUGGUUUAGAUAAAAGGGGAAAGGACGACUGGAAGAAUCUUGGAGUUGGGAAUAUGGCACAUAAUUGAAGGAAGAGCAAUAAAACUAUAAUUCUUCCCGUGGAGACUGGAGUUUCCAGGAUGUGAAAAUUACCUCUGCUUGGGUGAGCUAUUCCAAGCAGCUGGGAUACCUGUGUCACUCCUGCUGUCUGCCAGUGACUGCCCAGGUGUCCGCUGGUUCCUCCCCAGGAGUAGGGAGGAACCAGGUGGGCUGGCUGGGAUGGGUGGAUAUUUAAAGACCAGGCCUUGGACGCUGCAGCACUUGUAUCUCUGCUUGAGGCCUGCUGCCAUGU